rnacentral:rRNA from 1 species
AUUGAACGCUGGCGGCAUGCUUUACACAUGCAAGUCGAACGGUAACAGGCCGCAAGGUGCUGACGAGUGGCGAACGGGUGAGUAAUGCAUCGGAAUGGGUCCAGUCGUGGGGGAUAACUACUCGAAGGAGUAGCUAAUACCGCAUACGACCUAUGAAUGAAAGCGGGGGACCGUAAGGCCUCGCGCGAUUGUAGCGGCCGAUGUCAGAUUAGGUAGUUGGUGGGGUAAAGGCUCACCAAGCCAACGAUCUGUAGCUGGUCUGAGAGGACGACCAGCCACACUGGAACUGAGACACGGCCCAGACUCCUACGGGAGGCAGCAGUGGGGAAUUUUGGACAAUGGGCGCAAGCCUGAUCCAGCAAUGCCGCGUGCAGGAAGAGGGCCUUCGGGUUGUAAACUGCUUUUGUACGGAACGAAACGGCUCUGGUUAAUACCCGGGGCUAAUGACGGUACCGUAAGAAUAAGCACCGGCUAACUACGUG